GUGUCCUACGGGGGGCAGCAGUGGGGAAUAUUGGGUAAUGGGCGCAAGCCUGACCCAGCAACGCCGCGUGAAGGAAGAAGGCCCUCGGGUUGUAAACUUCUUUUAUUCGGGACGAAACAAAUGACGGUACCGAAUGAAUAAGCCACGGCUAACUACGUGCCAGCAGCCGCGGUAAUACGUAGGUGGCAAGCGUUAUCCGGAUUUACUGGGUGUAAAGGGCGUGUAGGCGGGAGAGCAAGUCAGACGUGAAAUUCCCGGGCUCAACCCUGGAACUGCGUUUGUAACUGUUCUUCUUUAGUG
rnacentral:rRNA from 1 species